rnacentral:lncRNA from 1 species
CUAGCUACUCCCGAUACCCCUUAUUUUUCUCUCCGGCGCUGCCCUUGCCUUCGUCUCCGGCGCUGCCCCCAUCUCCCUCCUCUCCGGCGGCUGAAAGCCACGAAUCGGACUUCCUUGACGCCAACGGCCACGUUCCAGAAGGCCUACCUCCUCUCCGGCGUCCCGAGGUAGUUUCUCCUACUCCAUUCUCUCCCUCCGUCUCGCUUGUUCUCCUCCUUCUCCUCCUUCCUCAACACGCUCCUUCUCCUCUUCUUUGGUAUAAGCCUUGAUCGAGCUUCGUCCUCGAGAAUCACACCAACUAUGGCAAAAAUAUGUUUUAACAAGAUCGGAGCAGCUCAAACUAGGUUAGUGCCUCCUUUGUAAUGGAGAUGAGCAACAUUUGAUAUUAGAGACAUCAAUAUGUGCUGUAAACGAUAAGCCACCUACUAAAUUUUUUCUCUGCGGAGAAGAUGGAUUAGGAUCGACAAGAUCGUGCCUACUGUCUAGACUCUUUUCAGCACUUCUGGGUUACUAAUAGA